AGCUGCCAGCUGUAGAACUGU
rnacentral:miRNA from 1 species